rnacentral:pre_miRNA from 1 species
AAUAUACUCCCUCCGUCCAAUAAAAGAUGUCUCGUCCAACAAAAAAUGUCUUAAGUUUGUUAAUUCGGAUGAAUCUAGACAUGAUUUAGUGUAUAUAUGCAUUGAAAUUUAGUCAAAGUUAAGACAUCCUUUGUUGGACGGAGGGAGUACAUA